CCUCCCUCCUCCUCCUUGGUUCUCCUAACUUCCCCAUGUAAUCCCCAGAGACUCAACCCUAGUAAUAUCAACCUUUUACAUUUUCCCAUGUAAAAAUCCCAUGACUCCAGGCCAUGGUUAAUAUGAAGCUUUCACAGGGACAGGUGGCCUCACCCCAUAAAUCAUUAAAUACCAUUCAGCUUGAAUCAUUUUAAUGUGACAGUCACGAGCCAGUUGCUCUAAUAAAAUUCUGCUAACCAGCUCUCUCCCUUGCUCUCCAGAACAAUCGCAUUCAUUCCCAGGAGUGUUCACAGGCGUCUAGAAAGGGGAAGGUGGGACCACUGCCUUUUUUCUCCUCUUCUGAAUGGCAGUCUGAACCUGGGGCCUGCAGCCUCCAAAACGUUAUUCAAUUUGAAAUGCAGACAUUUCUUAGAGAAAGCUAAGAGUUCAGCCCUGCAUUGAGAAGAAGAAAAAGUCCCAUGAGAACAGGGCAGGGUGGGGUGACAAGGACCACGAUGGCCAGCCUGGCCCUGGGUGUACCCUGAGAUGUGGAUUCCUUGUCCCCAGUGGGAAUCAGGUUCAGGUUGGCAGAUUGGCAGUCGCUGUAACCCAUUCACAAAGGUGUUCUAGGAGCCCAUUGAACAUUUGUUUGAAUGGAAGGAAAUGUCCAAUUUAUUUUAAUGAAUUACUGAUAAACAGUGCUUUGACCAGGGGCCUCCAGGCCUGAGACUGAAGGCACAGUUUAACCAGUACAC
rnacentral:lncRNA from 1 species